AUGGCUGAACCGAAGACGGGUGAGCAUGUUGUUGCAGAUGGCUUCGACUUUCCUCUUUUGUUUGUUGCAAGCAGACUGGUCACUGGAAGCGGAACUGCCCCAAGUAUUUGGCGGAUAAGAAGGAUGGCACAGAAGACCGAAAGGUCGAGCAUGAGUCGUAUAGAAGAUACGAUCAACAUGAAGAUGUUCACUUGUACAACAUUAGAUGGGCAUAAUUGGAUGUAUCCUGUAGCAUUUGCAUUCAUUGAUGGUGAAACCGACGAAAAUUGGACGUGGUUCAUGUCACAACUCAACAAGGCAUUAGGUCAUGUUUCCCCUCUAGCUAUAUGCACAGAUGCAUGUAAAGGUUUAGAGAAUGCAGUCCAAAAAAUAUUCUCUCAUGCAGAUCAAAGGGAGUGUUUUAGGCAUCUCAUGGCUAACUUCUCUAAAAAGUUCCAAGGAGAUGUGUUUGGUAGAAUGUGGCCAGCUGCUAGGGCAUAUAGGCCACAAGUUUUUAACUACCACAUGAAUAAAAUCAUAGCAGAAGCACCUGAUGUGCAUGAAUAUCUCUCAAGGUACCACAGCUUAAAAUGGAUGAGAUGCAUGUUUGACCCCUUCCAUUAA
rnacentral:rRNA from 1 species